UGAGAAGGUUGUAUGAAUGUUAGGAGAUGGUUGAAUGAAUGUUCAGUGAUGGUUGUAUGGAUGUUAUGAGGGGCCUCCCGAGUGGUGGUCUCAGGCUGUGCCACUAGAGAUCCUGGUUUGAGUCCAGGCUCUAUCGCAGCGACCGGGAGACCCUUGAGACGGCGCACAAUUGGCCCAGGUCGUCCAGGUUAGGGGAGGGAGUGCUCUUGUCCCAUUCCACACUAGCUACUCCUGUGGUGUACUCGCCAGGUGUACGGUGUUUGCUCCCACACAUUGGUGUGGCUGGCUUCCGGCUUGCGGGCAUUGUGUCAAGAAGCAGUGCGGCUUGGCUGGGUUGUAUUUGGAGGACGCACGGCUCUCGACCUUCGACCUCGAGUCCGUAAGGGAGUUGCAGCGAUGGGACAAGACUGUAACUAUCAGUUGGAUACCACGAAAUUGGGGAGAAAAAGGGGUAAAAAUUAAAAGUAAAUUAUGUUCUGUGAUGGUUGUAUGAAUGUUCUGUGAUGGUUGUGUGAAUGUUCUGUGAUGGUUGUAUGAAUGUUCUGUGAUGGUUGUAUGAAUGUUCUGUGAUGGUUGUAUGAAUGUUCUGUGAUGGUUGUAUGAAUGUUCUGUGAUGGUUGUAUGAAUGUUCUGUGAUGGUUGUAUGAAUGUUCUGUGAUGGUUGUAUGAAUGUUCUGUGAUGGUUGUAUGAAUGUUCUGUGAUGGUUGUAUGAAUGUUCUGUGAUGGUUGUGUGGAGGUUCUGUGAUGGUUGUAUGAAUGUUCUGUGAUGGUUGUAUGAAUGUUCUGUGAUGGUUGUAUGAAUGUUCUGUGAUGGUUGUGUGGAGGUUCUGUGAUGGUUGUAUGAAUGUUCUGUGAUGGUUGUAUGAAUGUUCUGUGAUGGUUGUGUGAAUGUUCUGUGAUGGUUGUGUGAAUGUUCUGUGAUGGUUGUAUGAAUGUUCUGUGAUGGUUGUAUGAAUGUUCUGUGAUGGUUGUAUGAAUGUUCUGUGAUGGUUGUGUGAAUGUUCUGUGAUGGUUGUAUGAAUGUUCUGUGAUGGUUGUAUGAAUGUUCUGUGAUGGUUGUAUGAAUGUUCUGUGAUGGUUGUAUGAAUGUUCUGUGAUGGUUGUGUGAAUGUUCUGUGAUGGUUGUAUGAAUGUUCUGUGAUGGUUGUAUGAAUGUUCUGUGAUGGUUGUAUGAAUGUUCUGUGAUGGUUGUAUGAAUGUUCUGUGAUGGUUGUAUGAAUGUUCUGUGAUGGUUGUGUGAAUGUUCUGUGAUGGUUGUAUGAAUGUUCUGUGAUGGUUGUGUGGAGGUUCCUCCCAAUACAUUGAGGUUGACAGGUCUUCUCAGUGUUCUCUGACCCUGAGGUAGUGUUAGGGGUCGGGGUUAGGUAGGGUUAGGGGUCGGGGUUAGGUAGGGUUACUGAGGUAGUGUUAGGGGUCGGGGUUAGGUAGGGUUACUGAGGUAGUGUUAGGGGUCAGGGUUAGGUAGGGUUACUGAGGUAGUGUUAGGGGUCGGGGUUAGGUAGGGUUACUGAGGUAGGGUUAGGGGUCAGGGUUAGGUAGGGUUACUGAGGUAGUGUUAGGGGUCAGGGUUAGGUAGGGUUAGUGAGGUAGGGUUAGGGGUCAGGGUUAGGUAGGGUUAGUGAGAUGGGGUCAGGGUUAGGUAGGGUUAGGGGUCGGGGUUAGGUAGGGUUACUGAGGUAGGGUUAGGGGUCAGGGUUAGGUAGGGUUACUGAGGUAGUGAUAGGGGUCAGGGUUAGGUAGGGUUAGUGAGAUGGGGUCAGGGUUAGGUAGGGUUAGGGGUCGGGGUUAGGUAGGGUUACUGAGGUAGGGUUAGGGGUCAGGGUUAGGUAGGGUUAGUGAGGUAGGGUUAGGGGUCAGGGUUAGGUAGGGUUAGUGAGAUGGGGUCAGGGUUAGGUAGGGUUAGGGGUCGGGGUUAGGUAGGGUUACUGAGGUAGGGUUAGGGGUCAGGGUUAGGUAGGGUUACUGAGGUAGUGUUAGGGGUCAGGGUUAGGUAGGGUUAGUGAGGUAGGGUUAGGGGUCAGGAUUAGGUAGGGUUAGUGAGGUGGGGUCAGGGUUAGGGGUCGGGGUUAGGUAGGGUUACUGAGGUAGGGUUGGGGGUCAGGGUUAGGUAGGGUUACUGAGGUAGGGUUACGGGUCAGGGUUAGGUAGGGUUAGUGAAGUAGGGUUAGGGGUCUGGGUUGUUUGUUUGGUAGGGUUAGUUUGAUAGACAGGUGUCAGAUUUAGUGUCUGAGCCUGAACCAACUGACCUCUAAACUCUAACCUCUGACCUGGAAGUCUUAUGAAUAGCUCUCUGGCAUUGCUGU